rnacentral:rRNA from 1 species
GACCAAGGAGUCUAGCAUGUGCGCGAGUCAUUGGGACUCGUUAAGCCUAAAGGCGCAAUGAAAGUGAAGGUCCGCCUCGCGCGGACCUAGGGAGGAUGGGCCCGUCCACGGGCGGGCCCCGCACUCCCGGGGCGUCUCGUUCUCAUCGCGAGAAGAGGCGCACCCAGAGCGUACACGCUGGGACCCGAAAGAUGGUGAACUAUGCCUGGUCAGGACGAAGUCAGGGGAAACCCUGAUGGAGGUCCGUAGCGAUUCUGACGUGCAAAUCGAUCGUCGGAA